UACAGAGGUCCCAAGCGUUGUUCGGAUUCACUGGGCGUAAAGGGUGCGUAGGCGGUCGGGUAAGUCUGAUGUGAAAUCUCACAGCUUAACUGUGAAACUGCAUUGGAUACUAUCCGGCUCGAGGAAUGGAGGGGAGACUGGAAUACUUGGUGUAGCAGUGAAAAUGCGUAGAUAUCAAGUGGAACACCAGUGGCGAAGGCGAGUCUCUGGACAUUUCCUGACGCUGAGGCACGAAAGCCAGGGGAGCAAACGGG
rnacentral:rRNA from 1 species